AGUGAACGCUGGCGGUAGGCCUAACACAUGCAAGCCGAACGGCAGCACAGUAAGAGCUUGCUCUUACGGGUGGCGAGUGGCGGACGGGGGAGGAGUACAUCGGAAUCUACUUUUUCGUGGGGGAUAACGUAGGGAAACUUACGCUAAUACCGCAUACGACCUACGGGUGAAAGCAGGGGAUCUUCGGACCUUGCGCGAUUGAAUGAGCCGAUGUCGGAUUAGCUAGUUGGCGGGGUAAAGGCCCACCAAGGCGACGAUCCGUAGCUGGUCUGAGAGGAUGAUCAGCCACACUGGAACUGAGACACGGUCCAGACUCCUACGGGAGGCAGCAGUGGGGAAUAUUGGACAAUGGGCGCAAGCCUGAUCCAGCCAUACCGCGUGGGUGAAGAAGGCCUUCGGGUUGUAAAGCCCUUUUGUUGGGAAAGAAAAGCAGCAGGUUAAUACCCCGCUGUUCUGACGGUACCCAAAGAAUAAGCACCGGCUAACUUCGUG
rnacentral:rRNA from 1 species